AUUGAACGCUGGCGGAAUGCUUUACACAUGCAAGUCGAACGGCAGCACGGACUUCGGUCUGGUGGCGAGUGGCGAACGGGUGAGUAAUGUAUCGGAACGUGCCCAGUCGUGGGGGAUAACGUAGUGAAAAUUACGCUAAUACCGCAUACGAUCUAUGGAUGAAAGCGGGGGAUCGCAAGACCUCGCGCGAUUGGAUCGGCCGAUAUCAGAUUAGGUAGUUGGUGGGGUAAAGGCCCACCAAGCCAACGAUCUGUAGCUGGUCUGAGAGGACGACCAGCCACACUGGAACUGAGACACGGUCCAGACUCCUAAGGGAGGCAGCAGUUGGGAAUUUUGGACAAUGGGCGAAAGCCGGAUCCAGCCAUUCCGCGUGCAGGAUGAAGGCCCUCGGGUUGUAAACUGCUUUUGUACAGAACGAAAAGGUUUCUACUAAUACUAGGAGCUCAUGACGGUACUGUAAGAAUAAGCACCGGCUAACUACGUGCCAGCAGCCGCCGUAA
rnacentral:rRNA from 1 species